UUAUUGUUGUGUUGUAGCUGAGUUAUUGUUAUGUUGUGGCAGAGUUAUUGUUAUGUUUUCCCUGAGUUAUUGUUAUGUUUUCCCUGAGUUAUUGUUAUGUUGUGUCUGAGUUAUUUUAAUGUUGUGGCAGAGUUAUUGUUAUAUUCAUUGAGUUAUUGUUAUAUGUCGUGACUGAGUUAUUAUUUGUUUAUUUGUUCAGAUGGAUGUUUCUGAUGUUAAAUCACGGAGUUACCCUCCAA
rnacentral:lncRNA from 1 species